rnacentral:rRNA from 1 species
AACGAACGCUGGCGGCAGGCCUAACACAUGCAAGUCGAGCGGGACCUUCGGGUCUAGCGGCGGACGGGUUAGUAACGCGUGGGAACGUGCCCAAAGGUACGGAAUAGCCUCGGGAAACUGAGAGUAAUACCGUAUGUGCCCCUCGGGGGAAAGAUUUAUCGCCUUUGGAUCGGCCCGCGUUGGAUUAGGUAGUUGGUGGGGUAAUGGCCUACCAAGCCGACGAUCCAUAGCUGGUUUGAGAGGAUGAUCAGCAACACUGGGACUGAGACACGGCCCAGACUCCUACGGGAGGCAGCAGUGGGGAAUCUUAGACAAUGGGGGAAACCCUGAUCUAGCCAUGCCGCGUGAGCGAUGAAGGCCUUAGGGUUGUAAAGCUCUUUCAGAUGGGAAGAUAAUGACGGUACCAUCAGAAGAAGCCCCCGGCUAACUCCGUG